GCGAAGGUGGCGGAAUUGGUAGACGCGCUAGCUUCAGCUGUUAGUGUCCUUACGGACGUGGGGGUUCAAGUCCCCCCCCUCGCACCA
rnacentral:tRNA from 1 species